UCUCCUGGAAAACGGGUGGUAAUGCCGGAUGCUCCAGUUGAUCGCAUGGUCUUCUGGGAAAGCUUUCGCGGUAUGGGAUGGGGUCGCGUCCUAUCAGCUUGACGGCGGGGUAACGGCCCACCGUGGCUUCGACGGGUAGCCGGCCUGAGAGGGCGACCGGCCACAUUGGGACUGAGAUACGGCCCAGACUCCUACGGGAGGCAGCAGUGGGGAAUAUUGCACAAUGGGCGCAAGCCUGAUGCAGCGACGCCGCGUGAGGGAUGGAGGCCUUCGGGUUGUAAACCUCUUUUAUCGGGGAGCAAGCGAGAGUGAGUUUACCCGUUGAAUAAGCACCGGCUAACUACGUGCCAGCAGCCGCGGUAAUACGUAGGGUGCAAGCGUUAUCCGGAAUUAUUGGGCGUAAAGGGCUCGUAGGCGGUUCGUCGCGUCCGGUGUGAAAGUCCAUCGCUUAACGGUGGAUCCGCGCCGGGUACGGGCGGGCUUGAGUGCGGUAGGGGAGACUGGAAUUCCCGGUGUAACGGUGGAAUGUGUAGAUAUCGAAAAAAAAACACCA
rnacentral:rRNA from 1 species